rnacentral:lncRNA from 1 species
UCGCCACGCGCGAGCCGCUUGCUCCGUUGCCUCGCCACGCACACCGACGAGGGCACCGGCCGCUUGCUCCGUCGCCCCGUCUCGCCGCCGUCUCCAUCGCCUUUCCGACCGCCGGCCGCCUUCUCCCGCUCGUCUCGCCUCUUCUCUUCUUCCUCACCAGGAGCUCAAGAUGGAAGGAGUCCCCUUUUCUUCAAGCUCGC